rnacentral:misc_RNA from 1 species
AAAAUGCAAUAAGUAGUGUAAAUUAUAGAAUUUAGUAAAUUAUUAAAUCUUUAAACGCAUAUUGCGCUCUUUAGUAUUUCUUAGGGCAUGCCUGUUUAAGCGUUAUCUAAACCCUUAAGCUCUGCUUAGUGUUGGGUGCCUGUCCCGCCCCUAUGCGUAGACUUACCUUAAAUCUAUUGGCGGCCCUUGUGCUGGCCCUAAGCGCAGCAGAAACGCGGUCUUGUAGCCUAGCAGAGCGUGCCUCUAGAAGCAACAUUUACUGUUUUAACCUUAGAUUAGGUAGGGAUACCUACUAAACUUAAGC